AUCUGGUACACCAACAGAAGCACCAACAGAAGCACCAGCACCGACAGAAGCACCAGCACCGACAGAAGCACCAGCACCAACAGAAGCACCAGCACCGACAGAAGCACCAAAAGAAGAUACAUCAGCUGGAGCAACGAGAAAACCCAACAACUGCCUGGGACAACAAAUUGACGAGCAAACAGGACAUUGUAGGAGAGGUUGUCUGGCCACAUUUUGGAAGGAGGACUGUAAAACUGCGUGUGGCUAUUGUGCUGGUAUUGGGUCAUGUGAUCAAAGGACAGGCUACUGCACAAGUGGCUGUAAGGACGGGUAUGAAGGUUCGGAUUGUAACAACGAGACCGGCAUACCAUGGGGUGAUGUACUCAUCGUCUUAUCAGUGUUGGCGGCCAUUUUACUUGUCGUUUUCGUCGUCUAUCGCGUCUUCUUCAAAAAGGCCUACUCUAUGGAUAUAUAUA